rnacentral:lncRNA from 15 species
CAGCAUAAUUUUAUAUAUAGAUGGCAGCAUGAUUACUCACAUGAGUAUGGUAUAGUAUAGGUGUAACACAGAUUAGUGGUAAUGUAAUGGCUUCAACAUAACACAACUGUUAUAUUAUUCAGGAAACUGGGAGUGUUAUAAUAAAUGUUGGGGAAACACAGAGGCUGGUCCCCAUUCACAACCUUAUAGAGGUGGUAGAUCAUAAUAGAUUCAUAAGAGUCACAGUAGCUUCUUCAGAUGAAUUCAGUAGGCACUGACUGUUUUAUAUUUGUUAGUUUGUUCUUUCCUUCGCUUUCCUAUUUUGUGAUAAAAUGAACACUGCUCUCCAUACAGGCCAUGAGCAGGACUUUGUCUGGUUCUUAAAUGGUUUUGGAAAGGAUGCAUGCUCAUAUUGCCAACUUGUUUUCAAUGGAGAAAGUCUUUAGCUUCCUGUAAUUGUUUCGCCAAUGAGGGUGUGUGAGCAGCAGGAACUGAAGCAUAAAAAUGUAAGUAAUGUUAAGAAUCACUAGUUUCUUCUGCUUGUCCAGGUUUCUCCACCUGGAUUAGGAAAACGUAUGUGAGUCAAAAGCAACAUGUGUGCCAUGAGCAGCAAUCAUCAGCAGCUGUUUCAACUAAAGACUUUAAGAAAGUUGAUGUACUGCAGUACUGUCAUCACCGUCCUCUCUCUCAUCCUGCUGUUCUUUAACUACAGGGUCGACUGGAUCAAGUUCUACAAAGCAACCAGUGAGCCUCAGAUCUUUGUGCAACCCGCAGUGCCUCAACAAUGUGGUCAAGGACAAAUAGUUCCUCAGCGACAAAAGGUGGCAGUCAACAGGACAAAAACGCUGCUCAUAUCAGCUUAUCAGGAGCACCGUACAGGCAGAAAGGAGGUUCGUGUUAUUGCAGUGGUGCUGAGGAGUGAGACAGUAGCCUAUCGCUGCCUCCUCUGUUGUCAUGACCAACUGUACAUCACUGAAGGUGUCAGCAACAUCCACGCCGAUCACUUUGGUUUUGCAUAUGGGACAGCAGACAUCAUGUGUCCUCUCCCCUCAGGCUGUGAGACUCCAUCUUAUAUCAC